rnacentral:rRNA from 1 species
UACGGAGGGGGCUAGCGUUGUUCGGAAUUACUGGGCGUAAAGCGCACGUAGGCGGCUUUGUAAGUUAGAGGUGAAAGCCCGGGGCUCAACCCCGGAAUUGCCUUUAAGACUGCAUCGCUAGAAUUGUGGAGAGGUAAGUGGAAUUCCGAGUGUAGAGGUGAAAUUCGUAGAUAUUCGGAAGAACACCAGUGGCGAAGGCGACUCACUGGACAACUGUUGACGCUGAGGUGCGAAAGCGUGGGGAGCAAACAGG